AGCAGCCGCGGUAAUUCCAGCUCCAAUAGCGUAUAUUAAAGUUGUUGCAGUUAAAAAGCUCGUAGUUGAAUUUCGAGAUCAAUUUGUUGGUCGUGCCUCGGUACGUACUGGCAAUUUUGAUUUCUCCCUUCUGAAGAAUCAUGAUGUCAUUAAUUUGGUGUCAUGGGGAAUCAGGACCGUUACUUUGAAAAAUUAGAGUGUUUAAAGCAGGCUCGCGCUUGAAUACAUUAGCAUGGAAUAAUGAAAUAGGACGUUUGAUUCUAUUUUGUUGGUUUCUAGGAUCGACGUAAUGAUUAAUAGGGAUAGUUGGGGGCAUUAGUAUUCAAUUGUCAGAGGUGAAAUUCUUGGAUUUAUUGAAGACUAACUACUGCGAAAGCAUUUGCCAAGGAUGUUUUCAUUAAUCAAGAACGAAAGUUAGGGGAUCGAAGACGAUCAGAUACCGUCGUAGUC
rnacentral:rRNA from 1 species